rnacentral:rRNA from 1 species
UACAGAGGGUGCGAGCGUUAAUCGGAAUUACUGGGCGUAAAGCGCACGUAGGUGGCUUUGCAAGUCGAUUGUGAAAUCCCCGGGCUUAACCUGGGAACUGCAGUCGAGACUGCUUUGCUUGAGUAUGGGAGAGGGAGGUGGAAUUUCCGGUGUAGCGGUGAAAUGCGUAGAUAUCGGAAGGAACAUCAGUGGCGAAGGCGACCUCCUGGACCAAUACUGACACUCAAGUGCGAAAGCGUGGGGAGCAAACAGGAUUAGAAACCCCCGUAGUCC